rnacentral:tRNA from 1 species
GAUGGCUCAGUGGUAAAGAAUCUGCUUGCUAAGCAGAAAAUUCAGGUUUGAUCCCCUGGUC